UACGUAGGCAGCGAGCGUUGUUCGGAAUUACUGGGCGUAAAGAGUGUGUAGGCGGUGCUCCCAGUCUGUUGUGAAAUCUCCCGGCUUAACUGGGAGGGUGCAGCGGAAACUAGAGUGCUAGAGGGUGGGAGAGGUAAGCGGAACUCCUGGUGUAGCGGUGAAAUGCGUAGAUAUCAGGAGGAACACCUGUGGUGUAGACAGCUUACUGGACCACUUCUGACGCUGAGACACGAAAGCGUGGGUAGCAAACAGG
rnacentral:rRNA from 1 species